ensembl:lncRNA
UGUGGCUUGGCUCUGGUGUGGCUGUGGCUGUGGCCUAGGCCAGCAGCUGCAGUUCUGAUUCAGCCCCUAGUCUGGGAACUUCCUUAUGCUGCAGGGGCGGCCCUAAAAAGAAACACAGAACGUGUUCACGGGGCCCUCUUCCCAUCUUCUCCAGGGACAUUGGAGCCAGGAAGGCUCCAAUCAGCACAUGCAAAUCCUGAAUGGAUCAGGAGAUAGACCUUGGGACCUGGCCCUGGGCUUGGGGCCAGAUGGGGCCCUCAGCCAGGUGCUGAAAUAAAGAGCAGGACCCAGGGGUGAGGAAGUUUGUGCAGGCGGAGCCCAGUAGGACAGGACCCCUCAUGGAUGCCCGUGCCCAGGGCCUCUGAGGCCAGGGGAGAGCUGCUUCUCCUGGGGCAGCCGGGGCAGACACUGAUGGUGUCUACACAGCAAACAUUGCUCAGUUUUCCCUUCCUAACAGAAACCGAGUUUUGUGUGAGUGGUUGUGGUCCAGCCCUGGGGCUGGAGGCUGCAUGGAGUGAGGAAGAUUAAGUUUGGGUUAACGCAGUGCAGCAUUCUCUUGUCGGUGAAUGCAGUUCUUCAUUGACUGGCCUGCCUUUAUUUCACUUCCAAUUUUCUUCCUCUUNCCGCCCCCCCAUUCCAGGACUCACCGAAGCACAGGAGGGUGGUGGGAUGGGGGGCCAUGGCCCAGCCCCUGCAGCCGGUGCCCGUCCUGGAGAGAUUAUGGGGGAAGGACAGAGCCUGCCUGAUGACACAAGAGAAGAGGAUGUGCUGCCCGGGGGCCCAACUUGGGGUUUCCACACUCAGCGCCUCACACAAAGGGGAAGAGCUUGUGCCCUCCUCUCCCGGCUUCCCGCGCAGGAGACAGAGGCAGGGCCGCACUUCCAGCAGAUGCUCCAAUGCUCAGGUGAGGCUGAGCUCCCCUCCAGGCACUUCUCCAUCGUUUUCUGCAAACUUCCCCAGCAGUUGUAAUGAGCAUUGCAGACGUGGGAGUUCCAGCUCUGGUGGAAGGGGAUCCGAAGCGUCUCUGCAGCUCCAGGACGCAGGUUCGAUUCCCCAGCCCAGCACAGUGGGCGAAAGGACCCAGCGGUGCUGCAGCUGUGGCGCAGGUCGCCACGGUGGCUGGGAUCCAGUCACUCACCCAGGAACUCCAUAUGCCAUAGGGUGGCCCCCAAAAAGAAAAGAAAAAAAUAGCAGAAGUGGUUGUUGUCGUAGUAAGAAAAGUAAAAACGCUAACUAGGAUGAAUCAUGUCCAGACAGUGGAUUCAUAUGCAGUCAGGAAGCAAAGAAGAGCUGAUGUGUUCCACGCUGUGGAGAAACCUUGAAAUGCAAUUCUGCGUCAAAGGGCCAAGCUUCAAAGGUCACCUCCUGUAUGAGUCCAUUUUUUAAAUUAUGAUAGUUGAUUUACAAUAUUCCGUCAAUUUCUGCUGCACAGCAAAGUGACCCAGUCCUAUAUAUGAUAGAUAGAUAGAUACACAUUCUUUUUCUCACAGUAUCUUCUAUCAUGUUCUGUCACAAGCGAUUGACUAUAGCUCCCUGUGGUGUAGAGCGGGACCUCAUUGCUUAUCCAUUUGAAUGUAAUAGUUCACAUCUACGAACCCCAAACUCCCCGUCCCUUCCACUCCCUCCCCCUCCUCCUCCCCCUGGGCAACCACAAGUCUGUUCUCCAUGUCCAUGAGUUUGUUUCAUGAUAGGUUCAUUUGUGCCAUGUGUUAGAUUCCAGAUAUAAGUGAUAUCAUAUGGUAUUUGUCUUUCUCUUUCAGACUUACUUCACUUAGUAUGAGCAUCUGUAGGUCCAUCCAUGUUGCUACAAGUGGCAUUAUUUCAUUUUUUAUGGUUGAGUAAUAUUCCACUGUGUAUAUAUACUGCAUCUUUUUAAUCCAGUCAUCUGUCAAUGGACGUUUAGGUUGUUUCCAUGUCUUGGCUAUUGUAUAUAGUGCUGCAUUGAACAUUGGAGUACAUGUGUCUUUUUGAGUCAUGGUUUUCUCUGGAUAGAUGCCCAGGAGCGGGAUUGUGGGGUCAUAUGGUAGUUCUUUUUUUUUUUUUUUUUUUUUUUUUUUUUUUUUUUUUUUUUU